AAUGUUAAUUCGCUUCACAAUCUUAUAAGCUCAAUUGGCCACUCAGAACAGAGGCCACUGCUGCACAAGAGCCAGAAUAUACAAACAUCAGGUAUUCAAACCUUCCACUAUUUUAACCUUAAUUUGUAGCUAACUGUAGUUCAGAUCACAGCUUAGAUUAUUAUCAGAUUACGCAGCUAGUUUAUAGCAGAGUUGUCAGAGGGUCUGAUGUAACAUGUCACAAAUACAUUCCUAGCAUGGUUGGGCCAAAAGAAGGUCUCUGUAUGCUUUUUUCUUACUCUAUGUUAUUUGACUAUUUAUGUAUUAUCUCGAUUGUAUUUUGAAAGUUUUGAGUUUGUUGUUUAUUUCAUGCAGGAACCUGCAUCAGAGAUACAGGACAAGAUUUUAUUUAUGAUUAAUAAUAUUUCAUCUUCAAAUAUGGAUGUGAAAGCAAAAUAAUUUACUGAUGUCCUGAGAGAGCAGUACUAUCCAUGGUUUGCUCAGUAUAUGGUGAUGAAAAGGACCAUCAGAAUGUGAGAUUACUGUGGCAUGACUUGAAGAAAGGCGAUUUCUAUCAUCUAAUGGCAACUUCAAAGUCUUUGCACUUAUCAUCUAGGUCUUGCCAUCCAACAAUAUGUGGGUCCCAUCACUAACAUGCCCUGGCCCAAAAAUCAGGCCAGUCAGCUCAUCAGGUUGGCCCCUAUCUUUAUGGAGACAACAACACAAGGCCCUUCACUUAUUGGACUGUAAGUUUAUACUUCUUUCAUUUUUUAAAAUCUUUUAUUGCCCUUUAUUAUGAUUCAUGUUUCCUUUACAAGUGAUGAGCUCUCACAAAUGACAUGGGUUAUUUGUAUUUUAUUUGUUUCUAUUGGAAGUUGGGUCUCAAGUAACAUGGAUUUUUUGUCUCUCAUUUUCUUUUUUGCUCCCUUUUCUUCACUCCCUGUAGUAACAUGUGCAUGUACUCCUUUUCUCCUUUUUAGAGGUUUUGACUACUCAUUUUCCUUUCUAUUAUGCAACUGUAACACCAAUCGGCUUUUCCGUGGUCACAAUUCCAUUUUCUAAACCUUGCUAUGUUAAAUUUUUUCCUUCAAAUCAGUUAGUGAUUUUUUUUAUUUUUUUUACCGUGUAUUGUAACUCUUUUUGCAAAAAAUCAGUAAAGUGAUUUGGGUGAUCUCUUGUUUUGAUUAAUAUCUGUUAGAUUGGCAUGUUGUUUGUAUGGAAAAAAAUAAUUUUUUAAACUAAAAAUAAAAUUGAGUUGAAUUCUAAGAUUGCAAGUGGCCAAACGGGGCAUACUUGGACGCUUAAAAUGUAAAUCAUAUGUUUUUUUCUAAUCCAUUCUAUUACUUAGUUUGUUAAACAAUUUUCAGCUAAGAAAUUAUGGGACUAAUGUUAAGUCUAUGAUGAUGAUGAUGAUCCCAAAUCUAAUUCGUGUAAAAAUCUUUGUUUGGUUAUUUUUGCAUAAUGGGUGUCAGAGUUCCACUUCUGCAUUGUAUAAGAUUGUUCUGCACUUUCUUUUAGGAAAUCAAUAUUACGCUUACAUUUUAAAACCUGGAUUGCAUUUUGACCUGUUUCCAUUGUUAAAUUACUUCCAAAUGGUUCAACCGCGUGUAAAUG